UCUUUUGCAAACUGGAGAAGUGAAAGAAUCAUGGCUUAUAGGCAGCCAAGUAGGCACAAUGACCAGGAUAUCCCCUGCACCAGCACUUACGGCCUUGAAUCUUCCUGAAAUUUGAACACCGUGUACUUCCUUCUAGCCACAGCCACAAGAGCUGACCUGCAGCUCGUACUUGGAUGGUCACCAGUUCGCUUAAAUGCAAGUCUCCAGGCUGCCAAUUCCAUAGCUCACUGGCAUUGGAAGACAUAAAAAAAUGGUAAACUUCCUAUU